AUAUUGCACAAUGGGGGAAACCCUGAUGCAGCGACGCCGCGCGAAGGAAGAAGUAUCUCGUCAUGCAAACUUCUAUCAGCAGGGAAGAUAAUGACGGUAACUGACUAAGAAGCCCCGGCUAACUACGUGCCAGCAGCCGCGGUAAUACGUAGGGGGCAAGCGUUAUCCGGAUUUACUGGGUGUAAAGGGAGCGUAGACGGAACAGCAAGUCUGAUGUGAAAGGCAUGGGCUCAACCUGUGGACUGCAUUGGAAACUGUUGGUCUUGAGUACCGGAGGGGUAAGCGGAAUUCCUAGUGUAGCGGUGAAAUGCGUAGAUAUUAGGAGGAACACCAGUGGCGAAGGCGGCUUACUGGACGGUAACUGACGUUGAGGCUCGAAAGCGUGGGGAGCAAACAGG
rnacentral:rRNA from 1 species